rnacentral:tRNA from 1 species
UAGCCUAGUGGUUAAGGCUAUGGAUCGUCAACCCGGAGACGGCGGGUUCGAUUCCCGU